AAGCGCCAGCAGCUGAGCCCAGCACGGUGCCUGGACCUGCCUCCUGCGUGGGGGCUGUUUGCAAUCGCCUCGGAGCAGGUACUGGGGGGCCCGCCAGCGCCCCGCUCCCCUCAGACCCAGGGAUCUGGUAAAUCAUCUCAAGAAAGAAGUCAGACUGAGAAGAUCUUGAGCUGAUGAUUCUAUUCUGGGGGAAAAUCCCCAAAAUAACUCAGUUGCAAGCUUUUACAAUUUUGCUACAGUUGAAGGAAAAGUUGAUUUGUAGUCUGCAUUUCCCCAGAAAGAUUAAAUUCAAUGAGUCUAUGGCAGUACAUACCAGUAACAUCUACUUCAGCAUUUCAACUGGUACAUUAUCUAAACUCUCCAAGGGCUUGUUGGUGUAUGACAAUGACAUUUCAACACUACAACUAAUACUCUUCCCAACUGUCUGCUUUCUAAUGUCCUCCUGGGUUGCUAGGGCAUCUCUCAGUAAGAGCAGGGACACUUCCCAUCUCUAGUUAACUAAUAGCCAAGGGUUGCAUUGAGUCUACUUUCCCCUCUACCUCUAAUUCUUGUAGUAUGAUUUUCUCCCUCAGAUAAAUCAUCAUCUUCCACAGAUAAGGGCUGAUUAGUAAGGUAGUGACUGGUCAUCAAGGGAGGUACCUCUAAAAUAAGCUCCACAGAGUGCUAUGGCAAGAUGAAGCAGAACGGUAGAAGACAGAUUUAGAAAAAAAAAAGUUUCAGCUGGGAAAAGUCAAGUCUAUUGGGAGAGUUGUUGAAAGACACACAGUGAAUAUUUUACUGGAUCAACUUCUAUUGGUGGAAGGGACAAAGAUUUGUGGAGUUGUAGGCUUCGGCUUGAGACCCGAGAAGUGUCUUUGCGAAUGCCUGAUAGGUCUAGAAGUCUGAUUCUCCAGUAUCUCUAGCUGGCCUAUGAAUGGGAAGGGAGAACUUGGAGCUUCUUAAACAAUUUUCUCACUGCUCCUCAAGAUAGCAGCUGCCUUGUCAAGCCAUGAAGAAUUCAGCACAUUCCUUUUGCUGCAACUGUCUCAGAGGCAGAUGAAGGACUAUGGGAUGGCAUGAAGAGGGACCAACAGGUCAUCAGAACAAUGGCUGUUGAACACAGAGGGCUGAAGACGGUGGAAUACUGUGAAAAUCCUAGAGACUUAAAUAUUCAGGUAUGUUGCUUUUCACUUUGAAUCACUUCACUUUUUCGCUAAGAAUUUUCUGCAGAUGUGAAAUCUAUAUAAACAAGGAAAACUGCUGUUUGUGUAAAAAGGUUCAAAUGAAUGAUUCAGUAGUCAGAAGAUUUAAAUAUUACAUUUUCACAGGAAGGUUAACAUAGCUAGUAUAUUUGUGUGUGCAACAGAGCAGUUCACAUUACAUUUCCCAACUUCCGAUUCAUUCGUUUUGCAGUCUUAUGACACCAAUGUCUUUCUUUUGAACUAGAAUACAUCUACACAGCAAAAGAAUCUCAGAGCCUAGUGUACCCGGGGGGGGGGGGGGGGGGGAAGGGAAGCACAGGAGCAGGAGCUAUAGUGCUAAAAUAGCUAUGUAGAUGUUGGGGUUCAGGGGAGGGCUUCAGAGUUCAAUCUCCAGCCUGUGAAUGUCUACACAGCUAUUUUUAGUGCUGUAGUGCAAGCCCCCUGAGCCCAAGUCUGUUGAUCCAAGCUCCGAGGCUUGCUGCGUAGAUGUACCCCAAAUGUCCUUGUUUUAAAAAAAUAAUACACCGAACAAAUAAUAGAUGGCAAUAUUCCAGUUUCUUUUCAUACACAGAGCUAUGGAACGCCACACUGACAGGAGCAUAAAAUUUUAUCUGUAGUUCUAUGAAACCAGGAUCUAUAUUUCCAUAAUCCUAAAAUAUAAGAUCGUAUAAACCUAAACUUAGUGCCAGUUUUCUUUUAAAAAUGUGCAAAACAAAUGUCAAAUGCUUCCAGCUCCACUUGGGGCAGGCUGUACAAGCUGGUUUAGAACUAGUUCUCAGUAAAACCUAGAUCCGAGUGGUCAAAUUUACUGACCCUCAAUUGUCAGAAGUUGGAGAGUCAUGUGCCUGCUGGGGUUUGGGGCUCCAGCCCUAUGGGGAGGGGGGUUUUCAGAGUUCUGCCCUGUGAGAGGCAUCUGUUCAGACUUUUGGCCCUGAAAAGCAGGGUGUGGGGGUGUCUCUCUCAGAGCUUUAGCCCCAAGGGAGGCACCUGCCCAGAGUCGGCCUCAGCCCUGCUCCUACUGAAGCCCUGGCACACAUGCCCCACAGAGUUGAAGCCCCGAAACCCCCCUCUCUGCUGGAAACCAGAGGCGAUGGGUGAGGGGGACACAUGGAAAUCUUUGAUGCACCCUAAGAUUUUUGCCAGGGUAUUUUCAAAUACAUGGACAGAAAGACGUUGCCUUUAAGCAGAGACAAAAUCAGUAAUCGAAAUUUUAGCUAAAAGGAGAAAUUAAGAAAAUGAUGAACGUGAGAAAGGGGAUGAGAGGCACUCUAUAAAUGGAAGCCUUAACAGAACCUUAAUUUUAGCAGCUGGCUUACAGUGCAAUACACGAAGCCAGCACAGAUCAUUUGCUAUUUUAUCAGUGGUGACAUCUGUUGAAAUGGCCUAAAUGGGAAAAAUAUGGCAGCCAUAGCAACAAUAUGCAAGACAAAGGCAGCAAGAAUCAUUAGAACAUUGAUGGAGAACAAUGAAUUCCUAAAAGGCUAUCAGGAAAAAACAAACAUGCAUGCGAAUGCAAAGAGUAAAGAGA